UACGUAGGGUGCAAGCGUUAAUCGGAAUUACUGGGCGUAAAGCGUGCGCAGGCGGUUCUAUAAGACAGAUGUGAAAUCCCUGGGCUCAACCUGGGAACUGCAUUUGUGACUGUAGAGCUGGAGUACGGCAGAGGGGAUGGAAUUCCGCGUGUAGCAGUGAAGAUCGUAGAUAUGCGGAGGAACACCGAUGGCGAAGGCAAUCCCUGGGCCUGUACUGACGCUCAUGCACGAAAGCGUGGGGAGCAAACAGG
rnacentral:rRNA from 1 species